AUUGAACGCUGGCGGCAGGCCUAACACAUGCAAGUCGAACGAGUGGCGGACGGGUGAGUAAUGUCUGGGAAACUGCCCGAUGGAGGGGGAUAACUACUGGAAACGGUAGCUAAUACAGCAUACCAUCAGAUGUGCCCAGAGGGGCUUAGCUAGUAGGUGGGGUAAGGGCUCACCUAGGCGACGAUCCCUACCUGGUCUGAGAGGGUGACCAGCCACACUGGAACUGAGACACGGUCCAGACUCCUACGGGAGGCAGCAGUGGGGAAUAUUGCACAAUGGGCGCAAGCCUGAUGCAGCCAUGCCGCGUGUAUGAAGAAGGCCUUCGGGUUGUAAAGUACUUUCAGCGAGGAGGCGUUACUCGCAGAAGAAGCACCGGCUAACUCCGUGCCAGCAGCCGCGGUAAUUC
rnacentral:rRNA from 1 species